GCCUGCCCAGUGACUAAGUUCAACGGCCGCGGUAUCCUAACCGUGCGAAGGUAGCGUAAUCACUUGUUCUUUAAAUGAGGACUAGUAUGAAUGGCACCACGAGGGUUAUACUGUCUCCUUUUUUUAAUCAAUGAAACUGAUCUCCCCGUGAAGAAGCGGGGAUAAAUUUAUAAGACGAGAAGACCCUAUGGAGCUUUAAACAAUUAUAGCACUGGCCCACACCUAUUAUUCUUCUGAGAUAUAAUUAUUAUACAGGCCAAUAUGACUAUUAGUUUUAGGUUGGGGUGACCGCGGAGCAAAAAUUAACCUCCACGUUGAACGGAGCUACUCCUGAGCUAAAAACUACAAUUUUAAGCACCAAUAAACUGACAUCAAUUGA
rnacentral:rRNA from 1 species